rnacentral:rRNA from 1 species
CCUACGGGAGGCAGCAGUGGGGAAUAUUGCGCAAUGGGCGCAACUCUGACGCAGCAACGCCGCGUGAUUGAAGAAGGCCUUCUGGUUGUAAAGAUCCUUAAUUGGGGACGAAACAAAUGACGGUACUCAAAGAAUAAGCUUCGGCUAACUAAGUGCCAGCAGCCGCGGUAAUACGGAGGGCGCAAGCGUUAUCCGGAUUUACUGGUUGUAAAGGGUGAGUAGGUGGGCUGGCAAGUUGGGUGUGAAAUCCCGUGGCUUAACCCCGGAACUGCUUUCAAAACUGCUGGUCUUGAGUGAUGGAGCGGCAGGCGGAAUUCCGUGUGUAGCGGUGAAAUGCGUAGAUAUAC